UGCGUAGGCGGUCCUAUAAGUCUGGUGUGAAAUCUCCUGGCUCAACUGGGAGGGUGCGCCGGAUACUGUGGGGCUAGAGUGUGGGAGAGGAAAGUGGAAUUCCUGGUGUAGCGGUGAAAUGCGUAGAUAUCAGGAGGAACACCGGUGGUGUAAACGGCUUUCUGGACCAUUACUGACGCUGAUGCACGAAAGCGUGGGUAGCAAACAGGAUUAGAUACCCUGGUAGUCCACGCCCUAAACGAUGCAUAUUUGGUGUGGGCCAUUCAGUUGGUCCGUGCCGGAGCUAACGCGUUAAAUAUGCCGCCUGGGGAGUACAGUCGCAAGGCUGAA
rnacentral:rRNA from 1 species